rnacentral:rRNA from 1 species
UAACAAUGAUUUCCCUAGUAACGGCGAGUGAACAGGAAAGAGCUCAAAGUUGGAACCUGUUUGGUUUAGCCAAACUGGAUUGUAAACUGUAGAAGUGUUUUCCUGACACGCCUGAUGAAAAAGUCCAUUGGAACAUGGUGACAUAGAGGGUGAGAGCCCCGUAUUUCGUCAGAGCUGUUGUCUUUUGUGAUACACUUUCAAAGAGUCAGGUUGUUUGGGAAUGCAGCCUAAAUUGGGUGGUAAAUCUCACCUAAAGCUAAAUAUUGGCAAAAGACCGAUAGCGAACAAGUACCGUGAGGGAAAGAUGAAAAGAACUUUGAAAAGAGAGUUAAACAGUAUGUGAAAUUGUUAAAAGGGAACCGUUUGGAGCCAGACUGGCUUGAUUGUAAUCAAUCUAGAUUUCGAUCUGGAUGCACUUGCAGUCUAUGCCUGCCAACGACAAUUCAUUCUGGAGGAAAAAACUAGGAGGAAUGUGGCCCCUCGGGGUGUUAUAGCCUUUUAGAAAAUACUCUGGAUUGGAUUGAGGAACGCAGUGGACGCUAUUUGGCGAAGUUGCUGAGUGCUUUUAUUGGUACGUGUUAGAAUUUCUGCUUUGGGUGGUGCUAGCAUUUACUGGUGAAACUCGCUUGGUAAUCUUUUUAUCCGCUUAGGUUGUUGGCUUAAUGACUCUAAAUGA